rnacentral:rRNA from 1 species
UUUCGAAUCAUUUACAAUGGGGGAAACCCUGAUAGUGCGACGCCGCGUGGGGGAUGAAGGUCCUUGGAUUGUAAACCCCUGUCACCGGAGAACGCUUAUCCGGAGAGGAAGCCGUGGCCAACUCUGUGCCAGCAGCCGCGGUAAUACAGAGACGGCGAGCGUUACUCGGAUUUACUGGGCGUAAAGGGUGCGUAGGUGGCCAAGUGUGUCGGGUGUGAAAUCUCGGAGCUCAACUCCGAAACUGCGCCCGAAACUACUUGGCUCGAGUUUCAGAGAGGGUAGUGGAAUUCCUGGUGUAGCGGUGAAAUGCGUAGAUAUCAGGAGGAAUACCAACGGCGAAGGCAGCUACCUGGAUGAAUACUGACACUGAGGCACGAAAGCGUGGGUAGCAAAAGGGAUUAGAUACCCGAGUAGU